rnacentral:rRNA from 1 species
UACGUAGGGUGCAAGCGUUAAUCGGAAUUACUGGGCGUAAAGCGCACGUAGGCGGCUUUGUAAGUUAGAGGUGAAAGCCCGGGGCUCAACCCCGGAAUUGCCUUUAAGACUGCAUCGCUUGAAUCCGGGAGAGGUGAGUGGAAUUCCGAGUGUAGAGGUGAAAUUCGUAGAUAUUCGGAAGAACACCAGUGGCGAAGGCGGCUCACUGGACCGGUAUUGACGCUGAGGAGCGAAAGCGUGGGGAGCAAACAGG